CUGUUGUGAUCACACGAGCGGGCACAGGAUGUGGUUAUAAAGAUAAUCAUUGCAUAGAAUUAUUUUUGCCGUGGAUUCUGUAAGGAUUGAAAGAAACAUUCAACUCAUGACAAGAAAGUUUUUGUUGUAGUAAACUACCUUAGUUAACAGAGAUGUUGCUUCCUCCCGAGGUACCUUAUCUCAUACUCAAAAUACCAAUGAACCUUGAGAUACUCAUCUUUCCAAUAAAAAUUGCAUCAUAGUCAUGAUAAGUGGGUCAAAUUCUCUAAUAGUUAUCCCUUUGCUCUUAUAUGUUGUUUAACUAUUCAUGACAAUAAAAAAGGCUGACAAUGCAUUUAAUGGGACAUCAAAUUGCAGCUUGAGGCUUUUAUUUGGGUACAAUACUGGGUUAAAACCAUGUCAUUAUCAUUGUUGACUUUGGAUAUGAUUCUUAUGUUGUUCGGUCCAUUGGAGCAUGCACUUUCAACUUUCUUCAUGAUACACAUCACAUUUACAUAUUGAUUUGAUAUUCUUUGUCAUAAUGCUCUUCUUUCUAAGCAAACUAUAUUCAUACCUAACAUAUUCCUAGUUUGCCUGCUAAGAUUAAAUGUAACAUCACAAUAAGCAAUGUAGAUUAUGAAUUUAUUAGUAUUGUGCAAUGUAGACCAAGUGAAAUUUAUUAUUAUGUUGAUUCUGUCAUGAUUUGCACUAAAAGUAAGCGUUAUCUUAUCCUUCUUAAGAAUUUACUCCCUCGAGGUGCAGACCCUUCUAUCAUUUUGAGAAAGCUUGGAUCUAAUAUUUAUUUACUUGAUUAGCCGCCUAGUCAUGGGAAUAUAAGUAAUUUUCAUUGUAAGUCAAGUUUUUAUUUUGUGAUAUAAGUAAAUAUUUCCUAUAUGGGCCACUCCCCUUUGGUGCCUUUUAA
rnacentral:lncRNA from 1 species